CCCUAUUAUUUUAAAUGUAAAUGUUUCAUAGUAGUUAUUUUCUUAAAAUUAAAAGAAUUUGGCGGUAAUUUAGUCUAGCUAGAGGAAUUUGUAUAAUAAUUGAUAAACCUCGUUAAAUCUUACUUAUUUUUAAAAGUUUGUAUAUCGUCAUUAACAGAUUAUAUUUGAAAAUAGUUAUUGUCAUUAAUUAGUUAUAAAAAUUAGAUCAGGGUGCAACGUAUAAAUAAGAAUAUAUUAAUUACAAUAAUUUUAUUUAAUAGACGAAUUUUUAUAAGAAUUUAUUUAAUGAAGGUGGAUUUAGUUGUAUUUUAAAAAAUUAAUAAAGUUUUAAGAGAUAAGAUUUAAAUUGUGUACAC
rnacentral:rRNA from 1 species